rnacentral:rRNA from 1 species
UACGGAGGGAGCAAGCGUUACUCGGAAUUAUUGGGCGUAAAGGGCGCGUAGGCGAUUUGAAAAGUCUUGUGUGAAAGCCCCGAGCUUAACUCGGGAAGUGCACAAGAAACUGUUGAAUUUGAGUUCCGGAGAGGAAGGCAGAAUUCCCGGUGUAGCGGUGAAAUGCGUAGAUAUCGGGAGGAAUACCAGUGGCGAAGGCGGCCUUCUGGACGGAUACUGACGCUGAGGAGCGAAAGCGUGGGUAGCAAACAGG